CAGCACCGCGGUAAUACAGAGGGUGCGAGCGUUAAUCGGAUUUACUGGGCGUAAAGCGUGCGUAGGCGGCUUCUUAAGUCGGAUGUGAAAUCCCUGAGCUUAACUUAGGAAUUGCAUUCGAUACUGGGAAGCUAGAGUAUGGGAGAGGAUGGUAGAAUUCCAGGUGUAGCGGUGAAAUGCGUAGAGAUCUGGAGGAAUACCGAUGGCGAAGGCAGCCAUCUGGCCUAAUACUGACGCUGAGGUACGAAAGCAUGGGGAGCAAACAGGAUUAGAUACCCCCGUAGUCCCUGUCUCUUAUACC
rnacentral:rRNA from 1 species